rnacentral:misc_RNA from 1 species
GGUUUUGCUUUGAUCAGUUUGGCCACAGGUGGUCUCGUCUAUGAGGCAAUACAGAAAUGGCUGAAAAGGAACGUAAGGGGUGCUGAUGAUGUAAAAGGUGGUCAACAGAAAGCUCGUCCUAGUGAUGCCCAGCUCAAACGAGAAGAGAUUCGGGCGCAAAUGAGGCAGCUUUUAGAGGAAUUUCACGGACGAUUUCAGAAGACAUAUCUCGCUCUUAAACUUAAGCACAGAAAGGAACUGUUAAAAGUUCGAAAGAACUUGCAUUUUGCUAGCGUAAACUUGGAAAAAAAACUCUCAAAUGAAAGCUGAAAUCGCGGACGACAACGGGAAUUGCCAUUAAUCUUGAGAGCACAUUCACUUUGCAAGUGGUUUUUGUUCUCAUCAGUAAACACGAUUUUCAGUAAAUAUCUAAAUGAAAAAUCAGGUAGUUUGGCUCUACGUCGUCCUUGUAACAAAUUGAUGGAAACGUUACCUUCUCGACGAGCAGUUUGAGGAAUUUUAAUUGAGAAAUUCCGAAAUUCUUUCUCUUAAACCGCGCAGCGAAAAAUAAAGGCUGAAAACGAAGCAACCAGCCAGUAAAAACUGAACGUAAAUAUAAAAUUUGAUAAUGUCAGGAAAAAAAAACCUUUGUCGUUACUUUUGGCGUUCAAAGAUUUUGAUUUGGCAGAGGCCUUUGGUCUGGAGGAGAGAACACCGGGCACUCACCCCGUGUGGCGCCAUUUUACAGGACGGCAAAAUGUUUCACUUUUCUAUGGGUAUACGGGCAAAUAUAGAAUAGAUUUUUGACCUAUCAGAGCGCACGUUGUGCGAUAACUGUGGAAAAUAUACAAUCCUUGGCUUAUGAUAAAAGAAGUUUGGAAAAUUAAUAAAGGGAAGGAAGAGAGGGCAUUCGCUUUUUGCAAUUCUUAACAGUCUUGUUUUCUAAUGCGAGAUGUGUUUCAGGUGAUUUAUUUUUUUUUUCUUCUGUUGGAGCAACAUGAAUGCAGUCAAAUAAAUUUGUCUGCCGUCAGACAACAAACAUCUUAUUAAAGCUUAAAACCUGAGCUGUCUUGGGUCAGACUUCGGACGGUUUCCUAGUAGGAUUGUCACAAAUAGAUUUUGCCUUUUGGUUUUGCAGGAUAAAUGCAUUAGAUCUUGAGAGUGUUAUCAAUUAGCAAAUAAAAGGAGCAAACAAAUAGACAUAACAAGUUUCCCCUUCAGGAAAACGUCUAUACCCUUUGCCCCCCCAAGAGUGACUUGCUUCCUUACAAAACAGCCCCGGCUACUUUUCGAGCGCCUCACUUAUAGUAUGACGCUCCAGCGGCGCA